rnacentral:rRNA from 1 species
AUUGAACGCUGGCGGCAGGCUUAACACAUGCAAGUCGAGCGGAGAUGAGGUGCUUGCACCUUAUCUUAGCGGCGGACGGGUGAGUAAUGCUUAGGAAUCUGCCUAUUAGUGGGGGACAACAUUCCGAAAGGAAUGCUAAUACCGCAUACGUCCUACGGGAGAGAGCAGGGGAUCUUCGGACCUUGCGCUAAUAGAUGAGCCUAAGUCGGAUUAGCUAGUUGGGGGGGUAAAGGCCUACCAAGGCGACGAUCUGUAGCGGGUCUGAGAGGAUGAUCCGCCACACUGGGACUGAGACACGGCCCAGACUCCUACGGGAGGCAGCAGUGGGGAAUAUUGGACAAUGGGGGGAACCCUGAUCCAGCCAUGCCGCGUGUGUGAAGAAGGCCUUAUGGUUGUAAAGCACUUUAAGCGAGGAGGAGGCUACUGAGACUAAUACUCUUGGAUAGUGGACGUUACUCGCAGAAUAAGCACCGGCUAACUCUGUGCCAGCCGCCGCAGUAACAC